GAGCGGCGAACGGGUGAGUAACACGUGAGUAACCUGCCCUAGUCUUUGGGAUAACCCUCGGAAACGGGGGCUAAUACCGAAUAUUACUUCCGGCCGCAUGGUUGGUGGUGGAAAGUUUUUCGGUCUGGGAUGGGCUCGCGGCCUAUCAGCUUGUUGGUGGGGUGAUGGCCUACCAAGGCGACGACGGGUAGCCGGCCUGAGAGGGCGACCGGCCACACUGGGACUGAGACACGGCCCAGACUCCUACGGGAGGCAGCAGUGGGGAAUAUUGCACAAUGGGCGGAAGCCUGAUGCAGCGACGCCGCGUGAGGGAUGACGGCUUUCGGGUUGUAAACCUCUUUCAGCAGGGACGAAGCGCAAGUGACGGUACCUGCAGAAGAAGCGCCGGCCAACUACGUGCCAGCAGCCGCGGUAAGACGUAGGGCGCGAGCGUUGUCCGGAUUUAUUGGGCGUAAAGAGCUCGUAGGCGGCUUGUCGCGUCGACUGUGAAAUCCCGCGGCUCAACUGCGGGCUUGCAGUCGAUACGGGCAGGCUAGAGUUUGGUAGGGGAGACUGGAAUUCCU
rnacentral:rRNA from 1 species